AAAAUAAUUAUUAUUAUGAUUACACCUUUUUCUUUUUUUGUUUCUGUUUUUUUUUUCCUUUUUUUUGCUUUCUAUUUUUUCUUUUUUCUUGCUUCGCAAAUAAGGGACAAUUCAUAAGCUUCCUCUUCAGUAAGAACAGGGGAGAUAAGGAAAU
rnacentral:ribozyme from 13 species